GACGAACGCUGGCGGCGUGCUUAACACAUGCAAGUCGAACGAAAAGGCCCUGCUUUUGUUGGGUGCUCGAGUGGCGAACGGGUGAGUAACACGUGAGUAUCCUGCCCUUGUCUUUCGGAUAACUUCAGGAAACUGCGGCUAAUACCGGAUAUGAGCUCCUGCUGCAUGUUGGUGGUUGGAAAGUUUCGGCGGUUGGGGAUGGACUCGCGGCUUAUCAGCUUGUUGGUGUGGUAGUGGCUUACCAAGGCUUUGACGGGUAGCCGGCCUGAGAGGGUGACCGGCGACAUGGGGACUGAGAGACGGAGCAGAAGGGUACGGGAGGCAGCAGGGGGGAGUAUGGCAGAAUGGGCGGAAGUCUGAUGUGGAAACGUCGCGAGCGGGAUGACGGGCUUAGGGUUGUAAACAGAUUUCGCAGGUGACGAAGAGGGAGUGACGGUAAUGGGUAAAGAAGCACCGGCUAACUACGUG
rnacentral:rRNA from 1 species